UUAAGCGACUAAGCGUACACGGUGGAUGCCCUGGCAGUCAGAGGCGAUGAAGGACGUGCUAAUCUGCGAAAAGCGUCGGUAAGGUGAUAUGAACCGUUAUAACCGGCGAUGUCCGAAUGGGGAAACCCAGUGCAAUUCGUUGCACUAUCGUUAACUGAAUACAUAGGUUAACGAGGCGAACCGGGGGAACUGAAACAUCUAAGUACCCCGAGGAAAAGAAAUCAACCGAGAUUCCCCCAGUAGCGGCGAGCGAACGGGGAGCAGCCCAGAGUCUGAAUCAGCUUGUGUGUUAGUGGAACGGUCUGGAAAGUCCGACGGUACAGGGUGAUAGUCCCGUACACCAAAAUGCACAGGCUGUGAACUCGAAGAGUAGGGCGGGACACGUGGUAUCCUGUCUGAAUAUGGGGGGACCAUCCUCCAAGGCUAAAUACUCCUGACUGACCGAUAGUGAACCAGUACCGUGAGGGAAAGGCGAAAAGAACCCCGGCGAGGGGAGUGAAAAAGAACCUGAAACCGUGUACGUACAAGCAGUGGGAGCACCUUCGGGUGUGACUGCGUACCUUUUGUAUAAUGGGUCAGCGACUUAUAUUCUGUAGCAAGGUUAACCGUAUAGGGGAGCCGCAGGGAAACCGAGUCUUAACUGGGCGUUAAGUUGCAGGGUAUAGACCCGAAACCCGGUGAUCUAGCCAUGGGCAGGUUGAAGGUUGGGUAACACUAACUGGAGGACCGAACCGACUAAUGUUGAAAAAUUAGCGGAUGACUUGUGGCUGGGGGUGAAAGGCCAAUCAAACCGGGAGAUAGCUGGUUCUCCCCGAAAGCUAUUUAGGUAGCGCCUCGUGAAUUCAUCUUCGGGGGUAGAGCACUGUUUCGGCUAGGGGGUCAUCCCGACUUACCAACCCGAUGCAAACUACGAAUACCGAAGAAUGUUAUCACGGGAGACACACGGCGGGUGCUAACGUCCGUCGUGAAGAGGGAAACAACCCAGACCGCCAGCUAAGGUCCCAAAGUCAUGGUUAAGUGGGAAACGAUGUGGGAAGGCACAGACAGCCAGGAUGUUGGCUUAGAAGCAGCCAUCAUUUAAAGAAAGCGUAAUAGCUCACUGGUCGAGUCGGCCUGCGCGGAAGAUGUAACGGGGCUAAACCAUGCACCGAAGCUGCGGCAGCGACACUAUGUGUUGUUGGGUAGGGGAGCGUUCUGUAAGCCUGCGAAGGUGACCUGUGAGGGUUGCUGGAGGUAUCAGAAGUGCGAAUGCUGACAUAAGUAACGAUAAAGCGGGUGAAAAGCCCGCUCGCCGGAAGACCAAGGGUUCCUGUCCAACGUUAAUCGGGGCAGGGUGAGUCGACCCCUAAGGCGAGGCCGAAAGGCGUAGUCGAUGGGAAACAGGUUAAUAUUCCUGUACUUGGUGUUACUGCGAAGGGGGGACGGAGAAGGCUAUGUUAGCCGGGCGACGGUUGUCCCGGUUUAAGCAUGUAGGCUGNUUGUCCAGGCAAAUCCGGAUAAUCAAGGCUGAGGUGUGAUGACGAGGCACUACGGUGCUGAAGUAACAAAUGCCCUGCUUCCAGGAAAAGCCUCUAAGCAUCAGGUAACAUCAAAUCGUACCCCAAACCGACACAGGUGGUCAGGUAGAGAAUACCAAGGCGCUUGAGAGAACUCGGGUGAAGGAACUAGGCAAAAUGGUGCCGUAACUUCGGGAGAAGGCACGCUGGUGUGUAGGUGAAGUCCCUGCGGAUGGAGCUGAGACCAGUCGAAGAUACCAGCUGGCUGCAACUGUUUAUUAAAAACACAGCACUGUGCAAACACGAAAGUGGACGUAUACGGUGUGACGCCUGCCCGGUGCCGGAAGGUUAAUUGAUGGGGUUAUCCGUAAGGAGAAGCUCUUGAUCGAAGCCCCGGUAAACGGCGGCCGUAACUAUAACGGUCCUAAGGUAGCGAAAUUCCUUGUCGGGUAAGUUCCGACCUGCACGAAUGGCGUAAUGAUGGCCAGGCUGUCUCCACCCGAGACUCAGUGAAAUUGAACUCGCUGUGAAGAUGCAGUGUACCCGCGGCAAGACGGAAAGACCCCGUGAACCUUUACUAUAGCUUGACACUGAACAUUGAGCCUUGAUGUGUAGGAUAGGUGGGAGGCUUUGAAGCGUGGACGCCAGUCUGCGUGGAGCCAACCUUGAAAUACCACCCUUUAAUGUUUGAUGUUCUAACGUUGGCCCCUGACCGGGGUUGCGGACAGUGUCUGGUGGGUAGUUUGACUGGGGCGGUCUCCUCCCAAAGCGUAACGGAGGAGCACGAAGGUUAGCUAAUCCUGGUCGGACAUCAGGAGGUUAGUGCAAUGGCAUAAGCUAGCUUGACUGCGAGCGUGACGGCGCGAGCAGGUGCGAAAGCAGGUCAUAGUGAUCCGGUGGUUCUGAAUGGAAGGGCCAUCGCUCAACGGAUAAAAGGUACUCCGGGGAUAACAGGCUGAUACCGCCCAAGAGUUCAUAUCGACGGCGGUGUUUGGCACCUCGAUGUCGGCUCAUCACAUCCUGGGGCUGAAGUAGGUCCCAAGGGUAUGGCUGUUCGCCAUUUAAAGUGGUACGCGAGCUGGGUUUAGAACGUCGUGAGACAGUUCGGUCCCUAUCUGCCGUGGGCGCUGGAGAAUUGAGGGGGGCUGCUCCUAGUACGAGAGGACCGGAGUGGACGCAUCACUGGUGUUCGGGUUGUCAUGCCAAUGGCACUGCCCGGUAGCUAAAUGCGGAAGAGAUAAGUGCUGAAAGCAUCUAAGCACGAAACUUGCCCCGAGAUGAGUUCUCCCUGAGACUUUAAGUCUCCUGAAGGAACGUUGAAGACGACGACGUUGAUAGGCCGGGUGUGUAAGCGCAGCGAUGCGUUGAGCUAACCGGUACUAAUGAACCGUGAGGCUUAACCUU
rnacentral:rRNA from 1 species